AUUUGGAGCUCAGUGGUAGAGCACUUGCCUUGCAUGUAUGAGGCACUGGGUUCGAUCCUCAGCACCACAUA
rnacentral:tRNA from 1 species